GAUCAUGGCUCAGGAUGAACGCUAGCUACAGGCUUAACACAUGCAAGUCGAGGGGCAGCAUGUUGGUUGCUUGCAACCAAUGAUGGCGACCGGCGCACGGGUGAGUAACGCGUAUCCAACCUACCCUUGUCCAUCGGAUAACCCGUCGAAAGGCGGCCUAACACGAUAUGCGGUUCACAGCAGGCAUCUAACGUGAACGAAAUGUAAAGGAGAAGGAUGGGAUGCGU
rnacentral:rRNA from 1 species